rnacentral:tRNA from 1 species
GUCUUCGUAGUGUAAUGGUUAGCACACUCGGCACGUAUUCGAGAAGUCUGAGGUUCGAAUCCCGGCGAGGGCA